rnacentral:rRNA from 1 species
AGAGUUUGAUCAUGGCUCAGGAUGAACGCUAGCGACAGGCUUAACACAUGCAAGUCGAGGGGCAGCGGGGAGUAGCAAUACUUCGCCGGCGACCGGCGCACGGGUGAGUAACACGUGUGCAACCAACCCCGUACCGGGAGAUAACCCGCGGAAACGUGGACUAACAUCCCAUGAGACUCUAGAGCCGACAUGGCUCUAGAUUUAAAAUUCCGGUGGUACGGGACGGGCACGCGCGACAUUAGGUAGUUGGCGGGUAACGGCCACCAAGCCGACGAUGUCUAGGGGUUCUGAGAGGAAGGUCCCCANACUGGAACUGAGACACGGUCCAGACUCCUACGGGAGCA